rnacentral:rRNA from 1 species
AGUGGCGGACGGGUGAGUAACGCGUGAGCAAUCUGCCUUGGGGUCGGGGACAACCACUGGAAACGGUGGCUAAUACCGGAUAAGCCGAUUGGUGAAAGAUUUAUUGCCCGAAGAGGAGCUCGCGUCUGAUUAGCUAGUUGGUGAGGUAAGAGCUCACCAAGGCAGCGAUCAGUAGCUGGUCUGAGAGGACGAUCAGCCACACUGGGACUGAGACACGGCCCAGACUCCUACGGGAGGCAGCAGUGGGGAAUUUUCCGCAAUGGGCGAAAGCCUGACGGAGCAAGACCGCGUGAGGGAGGAAGGCUCUUGGGUUGUAAACCUCUUUUCUCAGGGAAGAAGCUCUGACGGUACCUGAGGAAUCAGCCUCGGCUAACUCCGUGCCAGCAGCCGCGGUAAUACGGAGGAGGCAAGCGUUAUCCGGAAUUAUUGGGCGUAAAGCGUCCGCAGGUGGCGAUUCAAGUCUGCUGUCAAAGCACGGGGCUUAACUCCGUAAAGGCAGUGGAAACUGAAUAGCUAGAGUGCCGUAGGGGUAGAGGGAAUUCCCGGUGUAGCGGUGAAAUGCGUAGAGAUCGGGAAGAACAUCGGUGGCGAAAGCGCUCUACUGGACGGCAACUGACACUCAGGGACGAAAGCUAGGGGAGCGAAUGGGAUUAGAUACCCC